rnacentral:rRNA from 1 species
ACCUCUUAGUUCGGGAUAGCCACUGGAAACGGUGAUUAAUACCGGAUACUCCUUCUUGUCUCAAGGCAAGUCGGGAAAGUUUUUUCGCUAAGAGAUCAGUCUAUGUCCUAUCAGCUAGUUGGUGAGGUAAUGGCUCACCAAGGCUAUGACGGGUAUCUGGUUUGAGAGGAUGAUCAGACACACUGGAACUGAGACACGGUCCAGACUCCUACGGGAGGCAGCAGUGAGGAAUAUUGCACAAUGGAGGAAACUCUGAUGCAGCAACGCCGCGUGGAGGAUGACGCAUUUCGGUGUGUAAACUCCUUUUAAGAGGGAAGAUAAUGACGGUACCUCUUGAAUAAGCACCGGCUAACUCCGUGCCAGCAGCCGCGGUAAUACGGAGGGUGCAAGCGUUACUCGGAAUCACUGGGCGUAAAGGGUGCGUAGGCUGGCUUUUAAGUCAGAUGUGAAAUCCAAUGGCUUAACCAUUGAACUGCAUUUGAAACUGGGAGCCUAGAGUUCAGAAGGGGCAGAUGGAAUUAGUGGUGUAGGGGUAAAAUCCGUAGAUAUCACUAGGAAUAUCAAAAGCGAAGGCGAUCUGCUGGGAUGAUACUGACGCUGAGGCACGAAA